UAGCCUACGGGACGCAGCAGUGGGGGAUAUUGCACAAUGGGGGAAACCCUGAUGCAGCGACGCCGCGUGAGCGAUGAGUAUUUCGGUAUGUAAAGCUCUAUCAGCAGGGAAGAAAAUGACGGUACCUGACUAAGAAGCCCCGGCUAACUACGUGCCAGCAGCCGCGGUAAUACGUAGGGGGCAAGCGUUAUCCGGAUUUACUGGGUGUAAAGGGAGCGUAGACGGCGAUGCAAGUCUGAAGUGAAAGGCGGGGGCCCAACCCCCGGACUGCUUUGGAAACUGUAUAGCUGGAGUGCAGGAGAGGG
rnacentral:rRNA from 1 species